AUGGAGAUCGACGACGACGUCGUCGUCACCAGGGCCGAGAUCACGGACGCCGCGGAGGCCACGUUCGCGGACUCCACCGUGAUCCCCGACAGGUAUGCCCGGCCGGACGAGGUCGGGGACGGGGUCGUCGUCGGCGGCGACGACGAGAGCCACGAGCUGCCGCUCGUUGACAUGGCGAGGCUGCUCGACUCGGAGUCCUCGGAGGCGGAGACGGCCAAGCUUGGCUCCGCGUGUCGACACUGGGGCUUCUUCCAGCUAACAAACCACGGAGUCGACGAAUCGGUUGUGCAAGGCAUGAAAGACAGCGCUAUGCAGUUCUUCCGCUUGCCGCUGGAGAAGAAGAACGCACUGGCCGUCCACGCCGGCAGCUUGGGAGGGUUCGGGCACCACUUCACCGGAUCAUCCCGCAAGCUGGACUGGGCAGAGAGCCUCAUCCUCGCCACGCAACAGAACGGGCAAACGAGCAUGGACCUCUGGCCCGCCGACCCGCCAACAUUUGGGUCAUUUUUUCAUUUAAACAUUUGGGUCUUCUUUUCAAGCGUCACACGCCCAUUACUGCUCUGUUUGCUUCGUCUCAUUCGCCCGCCUGCUUAUAACACCAGGGAUGCGCUUGAGAAGUACUCGCUCGAGAUGUCUGGCCUCACGAGGCGCCUCCUGGGGUUCAUGGCGAGCGACCUCGGAGUGGAGCGGGAGGCGCUCGACGGGGCCUUCCGUGGCAAGACGCAGAGCGUCGCCAUGCACCACUACCCUCCGUGCCGGCACCCGGACAAGGUGAUAGGCAUCACGCCGCACCAUGACGGCCUCGGCCUGGCGCUCCUGCUGCACGUGGACGACACACCCGGCCUGCAGGUGAAGAGGGACGGCAGGUGGUUCCCGCUGGACCCGCUGCCGGGCGCCCUCGUCGUCAACGUCGGCGACAUCCUCCAGGUCCUCACCAACGGCAAGUACAGGAGCGCCGAGCAUAGGGUGUUGGUGGACGCCGAGAGAGGCCGGGCGACCGUGGUGAUGUUCCAGGACGCGUCCGUCGCCGGGACGGUGAAGCCGCUCCCGGGGCUCGGCGAGGCAAGGUACAGGGAGAUCGAGUACGGUGAGUAUGUCAAGGGGAAUUUCAGGGGGCUCGCUGAAGGGACCAGGUUCGUAGACAGCCUCGAGAUCAAUAUAGCAUAG
rnacentral:rRNA from 1 species